rnacentral:rRNA from 1 species
GUGGGGAAUAUUGGUCAAUGGGCGGAAGCCUGAACCAGCCAUGCCGCGUGAAGGAAUAAGGCCCUAUGGGUCGUAAACUUCUUUUGACGGGGAGCAAUAAGGGUCACGUGUGGCCCGAUGAGAGUACUCGUCGAAUAAGCAUCGGCUAACUCCGUGCCAGCAGCCGCGGUAAUACGGAGGAUGCAAGCGUUAUCCGGAUUUAUUGGGUUUAAAGGGUGCGUAGGCGGACGUGUAAGUCAGGGGUGAAAUACCGGGGCUCAACCUCGGAACUGCCUUUGAUACUGCAUGUCUGGAGUUCGGAUGCCGUGGGAGGAAUGGGCAGUGUAGCGGUGAAAUGCAUAGAUAUUGCCCAGAACACCGAUUGCGAAGGCAUCUCACGAAUCCGACACUGACGCUGAGGCACGAAAGCGUGGGGAUCAAACAGG